AAAAAAUAAUUGAAGAUAAUCGUCCGAAUUUAAAUGAAAUGAUGAUUUACGAGGAUUCCGAUUGCAUUAAACCAAUAAUAGAAAAAUGCUGGGAUCCUGAUCCAGAAAAGCGGCCAACGAUGAAAGAGCUGUGUGAUUUUCUCCCGAAUUAUGACAUAUACAUAUUUUUUAACGAGAUCCAAUUUGGGAAAGUGAUGAAGAGAGGCAGAUAUUGUGAUUUUUUCACAGCAAAUUGGCAAAACAAAAAAAUUUUUGUACAACAAAUUAAAGACUAUUUUGAAGAAGACGAAAAAUCUUUCUUCAACGAAAUUCGUAAUUUGAAAAGGUUGAACCAUCCAAAUAUUAUUACAUUAUAUGGUGCCUUCAAAUAUCACGACAAUAUUUUAUGCGUACUUUCUGAGUUUGCAAAUUGUGGAUCACUUUAUGAUUGUAUACAUG